rnacentral:rRNA from 1 species
ACAUGCCUACAACAUAGUGUUAAUGCAUCGGAUCCCAUUAGAACUAUGCAGUUAAACGAGCUUGGGCUAGAGUAGUACUUGGAUGGGUGAUCGCCCAAGAAUUCCUAGUGUUUUACAUGCC